AGCAUGGCUACAAAUUCGCCACCUACGGCCCUCCAAAAUUCCUUGGUCUUUAAUUGUUCCACUCCCGACAUUGUCCUGUGACAAACAGAUUGCGCUGAAGAUUUACAAUCAUCUGCACACAAGUGCGUGGAUGUAUUUUGUCCUAAUUGGUGUUUGCUCCCACUACCUUAAGGAGCUGAAUAUUUUUGUCGACGACAGUAAAGACAAGUCGUAUUGUACUUACGCAGCAGUAGCAGGUUGUGCAGAGCUGGUGGCCACUCUGGCAUUCGAACGUGCUCCAUCUCUUGUGCCUUGGGAUUCCACGUCUGGCAUCACUUCUCACAAAUUCUAAUGCCUGAGCAAGUUGGGAGGAGUCAGGGAGGAGCAGGGAGUCAGCUUUUUAACACAUGUUGGUCAUGAUGAAAUGUGUGUGUGUGUGUGUGUGUGUGUGUGUGUGGUAUUUGGUGUAAAAGGUUUGAAGAUCACAGGAAUGAAAGAAAGCAUUUUUUUUCAUUUUGGGAAGCACGAUUAUUUCCCCAUAUCAUUUCGUAGACUACAUUUGAAUACAUUUUCUUGGUAAAAUGAAUCAGAUGAAUUCUGAACUACAAAUUCUGGUGCGUUCUCGUGCUGUUUGAGAGUUGGUAUUCCAAAAUUCUUAUUGAAAUUGGAAACGAAUGGGCUGUUAAAGGUGGGUCAAGUCAGUAAGCAUCAGCAUGGGCUUUAAAGGAGAUCACUAAACGACAGAUGGUGCCGUGUUUCAAGCGCGUCAUGCGUAGGUAAUUAUGUGGUGUUUUACCGUUGAUGAGAUUCCCGAGUGUCACUGAAGUAGUCAACUCACAGCACUCUCUUUACCUGCAGAUAUGUGGUUGAAUCCUCGUGUUGGGGUCAGACAACUCAAGAUCCUCAAAAUUCCGAGAAUAGGGCGAGAUGUGCUGUGGAUGACGUGCAGGAUGUCUAAGCGUGAAGCAAAUUAGUGACGUGUGGUGUACUCUGGAAUCCAGCUAGUAACGACGCCUGUCGUAGAACCAAGACAAAAUACAAGUAACAAACGAUAAUUGGUUCCUUGGAGUGCUCUCCUUCCCUUCAAGUGUGAAAUUAAAAUCCAAAGCCUCUUCCGAGCUAUAACGCUGUCAUGCUGAGGAGCUAUCAUGCUAAAACAUCCAAAUCGUGUGUUACAACAAUGAUGUCAUC